UUUUAAAUUUUUAUCGUUGGAUUAAUCAACAGUCCAUAUUAGCUUCUUCAAAUUCGAAAUUCUCUCCCAACAAAACUUCGCGAGCUUCCUUCCCCUUCCCUUUCCUUCGCAUCCCAAACACCAUCGCCCACUUCCUGAAUUCAAUGUCAAAUAGAAGUCAAAGGAAACCCAUUCGUCCGAAACCAAUCAUCGAGAGCCUUCAUUGACAAUGGAGAAGUACCCAUCAAAGGAGAAAAAGAAAAAAAAAAAAAAAAAAAACCAUUGAUAGAGAAAAACCCAUCGGAGGAAGAAUCCAUCUCCAAUAGCGGGAAGCGAAGGCACUCGAGUUGAGCCUGGAGGCGAUCUUGUAGAGGAGCAGGCGUGAGCAUCUACAGUACUGCCCAGGCAGCUAGUAGCAGUCUACUUCGCGCUCAGCUUAUCGUUUUGUUCCUUUCACAACAGCAGCCGUAUUUAUCUUUCCUUUAUCUACUGUUAUCUUUUAGAUUUAUUUAUUACUUAUUUGUACUCCUGGACUUCGUUGAUACUCUUAGAAUGCUCUGAUUUUAGAUAUGGGACUCAGUAGAGACCAUGGUACUUAUGCGUGUAGUUAUGGCCUAUAGUACAGUAGGCCGGUUGUAGACUUUAUGCUAUUGUGGAUUUAUUCAUUUUUUUU